rnacentral:lncRNA from 1 species
UUUAUCAUUAUUGCAAGCAACGAUGUCGAUGUAAUACUAAGCGUGCGCCCCACCACCCCGUUCCCGUAUACAGCCUUUGCUGCUUCAUGCAUAUGUCUGUGCGUGGACACAUUCGCCAGAAGUACGGUAUCAACGGCAACGGAUGCAAUGACUGCCUGCUCACGAUGUGCUGCCCCCUAUGGUAAGUCUCGAGGCGACCGUUCCUUCCAAAACAUGCUUAUUGCUUUUGUACAGGUCGUUAACCUUACCUUUCUUGCCUCUUUCUUUGCUCGUGCAGCGCUAUUUGCCAAGAGACCCGUGAGAUUGCUAAGCAUUCAUCCUAAAUUGGCAUAGUCAAGAUAUUUGCAAGGGGAUGUCCGACAGACUUCGCCCGGCUUUUGGACCAAUGCAACGCGACCAACAUCAAUUACCGCAAGUCAUGAUAAAUAAUGGUCGCGAAUCGGAGUACUGCAAUCGGAGUACUGCAAUGCCUGCUCGAAUGAUGCCCGUGCAGCUGAAGUUCUCUUGACGAUUUCUAGUCAUGACCUGGUUCUCGGCCUAAAUGCCA